AAAUGAGCAGCCUCCCAACCCACCCAAUCAAUGAGGAGGCAGCCACCAUCCUCCCUCUUUAUAAGGAGCUUGGCCGGCCACACCUCCUCUCCUUUGCCUCAUUUCUUUUCACUCCCUACUAUUUCCUCCACUCCCUCACACUCUCCUCCUCCACUUCCCCACGAAAAUGGUGCUCCCCUUGCUCCCAUGGCCGGCCAUGGCCAUGGCAAGCCACCAAGAUGAAGCUCUCCCUCUCCCUCAAGCUCCUCCUCACCAUGAGAGCCUCCCUCUCCUUCUCCCCAACCCUAGAUGGUUUUCUCUCCUCUUCUUCUUCCUCCCUUGCUAAGAUUGGAUCUUGAUGCAGGUGCAUGUUGGUCCAAGCAUGGAGAAGCUUGAGCUAUCCUCAGAUCUGAAGUUCUUGAGCAAAGGCCAAAUCGAGUGAUUCAAAGUUCCGCGGAUAGGUAUUGAAAAGAUCUACAACUUGGCGUUGGUCUCAUCCUCAAAUUCGUUACGGAUUGUCCGUGGUGAAAGCCCUCUUCAAUACCUUCAUUUUGGCGGUGGUUUCACUUCGAUUGACCUCCUGAAACUGAAAUGGUUCACAGGUCAAGAUCUGGUCAGAUCUGACUUGGUCGAAUUAAAUCAGGAGCUUGGGAACGAAUUUUUGAAUGAAACAAACUGGGGGAUACUUAGUUGUGCCAUGGUGAUACCGAGAGAGGCAAUUGCUAAGUUAUGAUACUCUCAUACCUUUACUAGAUGCGAACGAUUCCAGAGAAGAAGAAGAAGUGGUUCGGACAAGGAUUUUAUUUAUAUUGACAGGAUUCUUAUAUUGAUGAAGUUGAAGAAGUCCAGGGACAAAUAAGCCAAC